GCCAUGGGGUUGAUCGCGAUUACCCCGUGAGGCGCCAGCCCAAAGAUCGCGUCCAUGAUCCCUUAAAAGGGUUGGACGCUGAUG
rfam:Methylocella silvestris BL2, complete genome.